AGAACGAACGCUGGCGGCAUGCCUAACACAUGCAAGUCGAACGAGGGCCCCGCUUCGGUGGGACCCUAGUGGCGCACGGGUGAGUAACGCGUGGGAACCUGCCCUGUGGUACGGAAUAACUCCGGGAAACUGGAGCUAAUACCGUAUGUGUCCUAUGGGACAAAGAUUUAUCGCCAUGGGAUGGGCCCGCGUAGGAUUAGC
rnacentral:rRNA from 1 species